GCGCCCUGCGGGCCUGGCCCUCCCCGUGGAAGGACCGCGGGCUUCGGGGCCCCACGCUGGGGGGCUGACUCCUGCCACACACACAGCGGUGGCCGCGGGCCUGGGGCGGCAGCACAGCCAUUCUGCUCGGGCUGCGUGAGCUGACCCCGCUCUCUGUGCACCUACUUUUGCUGCGUUUGGUGCUGAGCCUGAAGUCCCAGGACAGGCGGCUGAGGGGGAAAGAUGGUGUGAAUUGGGUGGGCAGAGACAACUGAAAGCCACAGGACCCGGUUGGCACCUUUUUGGCCGCCUGCGCCUUUGCCUGCAGCCCCGCUCCCUGGGUCACCCGAAGGAGGAGCUGGCGCUCUUUCCGGGCGCAGAAGCACCCGACCCACGCUGGAGGAAACGGUCCCUCUGGGCAGGAGAAGCUUUGGGCCUGGCUGGAGCACACUCACGGAACCACGCCAACGCCUGGCCUGUAGCCAGCUCCCACCUCCCCUCCCACCUUCUAAAAUGCUUGCGGAUCUCACGUGGCCGACCCUAACCAGAUACACAUGGGGAAAGGAAUCAGGUGGCACACAUACCGCCUUUACUCCAUAGAGAACUUCCAAUUGUGGGUAAGAACAAAGCCCCACCUCUUCCUAAUAGAUGCAGUUUUCCACCUGCAGCCAAAAAGACAACCUGUUAUUAGCUUUUUUCCCAGAGGACAGGCAUCUCUAUGAAACUGCCAUUGCAAAAUUUGCCGACAGUGAGAUAACCAGCUCCAUUUUGCUUCUAACCUCCAUGCCCUCCUUGUUUACUGCUGCACGCAGGUUGAACUGUGGGAGGAACUUAGUUUAAAACAAAGAUGAUAACAGCCCUUUCCCAAAGGAAACCUUUCCUGGGGAUUAGCCUGCUUUUGUGGGACCAACAGAUUAGCCACAAGAUUAGAAACUACGGUUGAAGAGUCACGCAGCGGGAGGCUACAGGAUUCUGACCCUCCCCAAACUGCUCCUGGCGAUAACAUCACCAUCGUAAAGCCUAAGAUCAGCACUUGGUGGGUCACCUGGCACCACCCAGGCUCAUCUGAUGUUGUGGCACCCAGGAACUGACUCAGUGCGAAAACAGCUUCGACUCCCUGUGAUUUCAUCUCUGACCUGACCAAUGGGUACUUCUGACUCACUGGCUGCCCCCCACCCACCAGCUUAUCUUUAAAAACUCCAAACCCCAGAUGCUCAGGGAGACCGAGUAAUAAUAAAACUCCAGUCUCCCACACAGCUAGCUCUGCGUGAAUUACCUUUUCUCUGUUGCAAAUGCCCUUUCUUGAUAAAUUGGCUGUCUAGGUAACAGGGAAGGUGAACCCACUGGGCAGUUACACUUUUAUCCACCCUUCCAGCUGGAUCACGCGCCCUCUUCAAUGACAUGACACGCAGCUAGAGUGUAUGAGCUUGCUGCCGGCACCUUCCGUCCUGGAUCGCAUAGCAAGGCCUCAAUGGACAGCCAGGUGCCUGGUCCGGUCCCACUUUUUUUUCUGUCCUGUUCUCGUUUCCUCUUUGCUUGGCCAAAGAGGGUUGGGCCAGGGUCCUGAGUGCAAAGGCUUGGCUUGGUGAAUUAAAGUGGCAGUAGCCGUGUGGCAGAGAAAAUUUGUAGAUGGGUGAAAUCCUGGGCCUACACAGUGACAAAGUGUAUAUAGACAGCCAGCCUAGUUGGUGGAUGUGACAACCCCAGACUCUUCUAGAUUUGUGGAUCCGUGCACCUGCCAGACCUGUCUCUGAGCCAUCUGGGGAGGCUGGGUAAGAUUUCCCCCGUCAGGGCCUGAGCCUCAUCUCCAAGCUGCUGGCUUCAGCCCAGCUGCCACCAGCGCUGUCUCUGUCUUGCGCUUUCCAGAGAGAGACUGACUCAUUUUGAGCUCCAGGCCUACCAGGCAGCCCAACCGCGGCAGUAACUGCCUCUCACACUGAGGAUGGCUCAUGCUCUGGUCCAGCCAUGGCUUGAACACCUCCCAACAAGAACAAAGCCAGACUCAUUCUCCCUAGCAUCUUCUUCCUUGCUCAAAGAUCCCACACCCCGUUAGAAGCUGGAACUGGGUCCUUGUCACCUUCCUCACCUCCCCAGUCGUAGUCUGGUUAAUCCUUACAUCUCACCACGGUCACCGUGGCUAGAUGUGACCUCCGCGAUGCUUCAGGCACGUACCAGGGCAGCCUGGGCAGGGCUGGUCACUGUGAUCUCAUGAGGUGUGAACUUGACCCCGGCCUUCUUUCCUGGGAUGCCGGCUAAGGACACAAGUUCAGUGUUUGCCCUGGCUUGUAGCCCAGCGGGGGCUCCGUCAUCCCCUGGGGAAUGCCUCGGCCUGCAAGACCGCAUACCGCAUUGGAACAGGGAAACCACCUACUUCAGCACCUCCCUCAGCAAGGUGGCAGGUCCCAACAAGCCUUGCACCACGAGGAAGUGGCAGUGGCAUUCGGGAUAUGGCUCCCUGGCCAGCUUGUGAAGUUCAAGGGGCUCGUUACUUCUUACAGCUCACAGUCCCUCCCGGGUCCAGCACACCUGAGGGCUGACCUCCCUCUUGAUUAGUGCAGGGGAAAAGCACUUUAAAAAGCUGUGUCAUGCGUAACUUGCACAUCUUCUGAUUCUGACCUGAAACUGCAUCCCAGGUCGGCACAGACGCAACCCAGUCUCCUCCCACCUCCGAGAGUGCAGUGUCCUGAAUGGAGAACCCCAGCACCCAGAAGCAUCCACUGAAGGACUAAAUUCUACACAUGAAGGCAAACGUCCGUGGUUGACAGAAAUUACACUGGCCAGAAUCCCCAGUCCCCAUGAGGCUUGUCCAGACGCAGUGAACCAGUCGCAGCUGAUAACACACAGACCAUUCCCGAUCCCAGAGGUGCAUUUCAGGAUUCAUUCUAUUUCAUCAGAGACGGGGUCUUCCUGUGUUGCCCAGGCUGGUCUCGAACUCCUGGGCUGAAGCAAUCUUCCUGCCUUGGCCUCCCAGAGGGUUGGAAUUGCAGAUGUGAGGUGUGUCCUGGAACCCUGGCUGCACCCACAGAUACAGCCACUCCUGGGCC
ensembl:lncRNA NOP14-AS1 NOP14 antisense RNA 1